rnacentral:lncRNA from 8 species
GGGGUACGAUUCAUGUGAUAGGAAGGGAAGAACGCACAGAAACACUGUUUGGAACGCGUCCUUAAUUCAAAGGCAAAGUUGCAAGACUGUUGAAGACCAGUAGUGUUCCAGUAUGUCUGUGCUCAUGUCUCAACAUUGACCUGUGCUGUGCUGAUGAUGUCAUGUCUCUCUUCCCAGGGGACUGUGAGGUGCCGGUCCACUCCUGACCUACAGGAUGCCAUCCUCCUGGUGCUGAUCUACACAGGAGAUCCAACCAGAAGGGGUUUUGAGGCCGACACCCCCAAGACCUCGCAGGACCCCGCCCCCUUCUCUGCCUCCUCCCCCUCUCCACCUCUACCUGUCUCCUGAUGUAUAGAACCCAUUGCUGAACGUAAGUAUUACACUCCUUGAAUGUGCUGUGAAGUUGUAGUAAAGAACAUAGAGUUUAACUAACUACUGUAGUUCCCCCCUACCUACCUCUCUAUCUCUCUCUCUCUCUCUCUCUUUCCUCUCUCUCUCUCUCUCUCUCUCUCUCUCUCUCUCUGUCUCUCUCUCGCUCUCUCUGUCUCUCUCUCUCUCUGUGUCUCUCUCUGUGUCUCUCUCUCUGUCUCUCUCUCUCUCUCUCUCUCUCCCCUUCUCUCUUUCUCCAGGGUUUGAU